rnacentral:rRNA from 1 species
CAUUGCUGGAACGCGCCCCAGGCGCACCCAGAAACCCUUUGUGAACUUAUACCUUACUGUUGCCUCGGCGCUAGCUGGUCCUUCGGGGCCCCUCACCCUCGGGUGUUGAGACAGCCCGCCGGCGGCCAACCCAACUCUUGUUUUUACACUGAAACUCUGAGAAUAAAACAUAAAUGAAUCAAAACUUUCAACAACGGAUCUCUUGGUUCUGGCAUCGAUGAAGAACGCAGCGAAAUGCGAUAAGUAAUGUGAAUUGCAGAAUUCAGUGAAUCAUCGAAUCUUUGAACGCACAUUGCGCCCUCUGGUAUUCCGGAGGGCAUGCCUGUUCGAGCGUCAUUUCAACCCUCAAGCCUGGCUUGGUGAUGGGGCACUGCUUUUACCCAAGAGCAGGCCCUGAAAUUCAGUGGCGAGCUCGCCAGGACCCCGAGCGCAGUAGUUAAACCCUCGCUCUGGAAGGGCCCUGGCGGUGCCCUGCCGUUAAACCCCCCAACUUCUGAAAAUUUGACCUCGGAUCAGGKAGGAAUACCCGCUGAACUUAAGCAUAUCAAUAAGCGGAGGA